CUCCUGGGUAACUGGUGCCUACACUGGGUCCUUCCCAAAAGGGCAUGGCAGAGCAGCGGCGCUGCCAUGGGGAAAGGGCUGCAGACAGAACCUACACAGGGAUGCAUAGCACCCCGCAGCAGCUUUAAGUGCAUUGGCCCAGUAGCGUAGAGAGUGACCCCUUUCAGUGGAAUAUAAAACAAAUCAUACAAGAGCAUUAAACAGACCUUUGAGACGCAGGGAGCAGGAGUUAUCUGUAGGUAAUGCUGUCUGAACUAAUCAAAGACGUACAGUGAAAGGAAUGAAAGAAGGAUGGUUCCUCCUAAAGUACAUAUCUGAAAUAGAGCAGCACUGGCACCACAAGCAAAGCCCCAUUUCCCUCCACAGACUGGAACAGAACCCAUAAAAUGUGCACUGCAGCUGUAGCAGAGCUCCUGAGAGACAAAUGGCAUCUCAGAGCAUAACUCCAUGCAGCAGCACUGACGGGAAAGCAAGUUCAAAGGCAUCCAGCUCUCUCCAGAGAACACAGCUAUGUGAGACCCUGCUGGAUAGAUGACUGGGUACCUGUUUUAGCACCAAAGUAUUAUAAAGAGCUUGUUCUGCCUCCAGGCAGUAAUUUGCUGAAGCACACAAGACACAUUUCCCACUGGCAGGAUGAAAAGAAAACUUUCACCCCAUUUUUUUUUUGCAAAACACUGCAUGAUGUCAUCUCUGAAAAGAGCUCUAUUGUACAUGUGGGCCAUGGCAAAUAUGGAUGGAAGAGAACUAAAA